UACGAAGGGGGCUAGCGUUGCUCGGAAUCACUGGGCGUAAAGCGCACGUAGGCGGAUUGUUAAGUCAGGGGUGAAAUCCCGGAGCUCAACUCCGGAACUGCCUUUGAUACUGGCGAUCUUGAGUCCGGGAGAGGUGAGUGGAACUGCGAGUGUAGAGGUGAAAUUCGUAGAUAUUCGCAAGAACACCAGUGGCGAAGGCGGCUCACUGGCCCGGUACUGGACGCUGAGGUGCGAAAAGCGU
rnacentral:rRNA from 1 species